rnacentral:rRNA from 1 species
AGCGAACGCUGGCGGCAGGCUUAACACAUGCAAGUCGAGCGCCCCGCCAGGGGAGCGGCAGACGGGAGAGUAACACGUGGGAACAUACCUUUUGGUUCGGAACAACUGAGGGAAACUUCAGCUAAUACCGGAUAAGCCCUUACGGGGAAAGAUUUAUCGCCGAAAGAUUGGCCCGCGUCUGAUUAGCUAGUUGGUGAGGUAACGGCUCACCAAGGCGACGAUCAGUAGCUGGUCUGAGAGGAUGAUCAGCCUCACUGUGACUGAGACACGGCCCAGACUCCUACGGGAGGCAGCAGUGGGGAAUAUUGGACAAUGGGGGCAACCCUGAUCCAGCCAUGCCGCGUGAGUGAUGAAGGCCUUAGGGUUGUAAAGCUCUUUUGCCCGGGAAGAUAAUGACGGUACCGGGAGAAUAAGCCCCGGCUAACUUCGUG